AUUGAACGCUGGCGGCAUGCCUUACACAUGCAAGUCGAACGGCAGCGGACCUUCGGGUGCCGGCGAGUGGCGAACGGGUGAGUAAUAUAUCGGAACGUACCUUUCAGUGGGGGAUAACGUAGCGAAAGUUACGCUAAUACCGCAUAUUCUGUGAGCAGGAAAGCAGGGGAUCGCAAGACCUUGCGCUGAUUGAGCGGCCGAUAUCAGAUUAGCUAGUUGGUGAGGUAAAGGCUCACCAAGGCGACGAUCUGUAGCGGGUCUGAGAGGAUGAUCCGCCACACUGGAACUGAGACACGGUCCAGACUCCUACGGGAGGCAGCAGUGGGGAAUUUUGGACAAUGGGCGCAAGCCUGAUCCAGCCAUGCCGCGUGAGUGAAGAAGGCCUCGGUUGUAAGU
rnacentral:rRNA from 1 species